rnacentral:rRNA from 1 species
GAGUUUGAUCCUGGCUCAGGAUGAACGCUGGCGGCGUGCCUAAUACAUGCAAGUCGAACGCACAGCGAAAGGUGCUUGCACCUUUCAAGUGAGUGGCGAACGGGUGAGUAACACGUGGACAACCUGCCUCAAGGCUGGGGAUAACAUUUGGAAACAGAUGCUAAUACCGAAUAAAACUUAGUGUCGCAUGACACAAAGUUAAAAGGCGCUUCGGCGUCACCUAGAGAUGGAUCCGCGGUGCAUUAGUUAGUUGGUGGGGUAAAGGCCUACCAAGACAAUGAUGCAUAGCCGAGUUGAGAGACUGAUCGGCCACAUUGGGACUGAGACACGGCCCAAACUCCUACGGGAGGCUGCAGUAGGGAAUCUUCCACAAUGGGCGAAAGCCUGAUGGAGCAACGCCGCGUGUGUGAUGAAGGCUUUCGGGUCGUAAAGCACUGUUGUAUGGGAAGAACAGCUAGAAUAGGAAAUGAUUUUAGUUUGACGGUACCAUACCAGAAAGGGACGGCUAAAUACGUGCCAGCAGCCGCGGUAAUACGUAUGUCCCGAGCGUUAUCCGGAUUUAUUGGGCGUAAAGCGAGCGCAGACGGUUUAUUAAGUCUGAUGUGAAAGCCCGGAGCUCAACUCCGGA